GGCUACCCAAUCAGGAAAGGUCUGUUCAGAGAGUUGUGGAUGCUAUUUUAAGAGGUUCGGUGGGACAUGAUCGGGGACACCCUCGGGAAUGGCUAGCCGAUCAAGAUAGGUCUGCUCGGAAAGUUGUGGACAUUAGUUUAGGAGUUUUGGUAGGACAUGAUCGAGAACGCCCUCGAGAGCGGCUACCUGAUCAGGAUGAGUUUGUUCGGAG
rnacentral:lncRNA from 1 species